AACGAACGCUGGCGGCAGGCUUAACACAUGCAAGUCGAACGCCCCGCAAGGGGAGUGGCAGACGGGUGAGUAACGCGUGGGAAUCUACCCAUCCCUACGGCACAACUCCGGGAAACUGGAGCUAAUACCGUAUACGCCCUACGGGGGGAAGAUUUAUCGGGGAUGGAUGAGCCCGCGUUGGCUUAGCUAGUUGGUGGGGUAAAGGCCUACCAAGGCGACGAUCAAUAGCUGGUCUGAGAGGAUGAUCAGCCUCAUUGGGACUGAGACACGGCCCAAACUCCUACGGGAGGCAGCAGUGGGGAAUAUUGGACAAUGGGCGCAAGCCUGAUCCAGCCAUGCCGCGUGAGUGAUGAAGGUCUUAGGAUUGUAAAGCUCUUUCACCGAUGAAGAUAAUGACGGUAGUCGGAGAAGAAGCCCCGGCUAACUUCGUGCCAGCAGCCGCCGUAA
rnacentral:rRNA from 1 species